rnacentral:rRNA from 1 species
GACGAACGCUGGCGGCGUGCUUAACACAUGCAAGUCGAACGGAAAGGCCCUGCUUUUGUGGGUUGCUCGAGUGGCGAACGGGUGAGUAACACGUGAGUAACCUGCCCUUGACUUUGGGAUAACUUCAGGAAACUGGGGCUAAUACCGGAUAGGAGCUCCUGCUGCAUUGUGGGGGUUGGAAAGUUUCGGCGGUUGGGGAUGGACUCGCGGGUUAUCAACUUGUUGGUGGGGUAGUGGCUUACCAAGGCUUUGACGGGUAGCCGGCCUGAGAGGGUGACCGGCCACAUUGGGACUGAGAUACGCCCCAGACUCCUACGGGAGGCAGCAGUGGGGAAGCUUGCACAAUGGGAGGAAGCCUGAUGCAGCAACGCCGCGUGCGGGAUGACGGCCUUCGGGUUGUAAACCGCUUUCGCCUGUGACGAAGAGUGAGUGACGGUAAUGGGUAAAGAAGCAACGGCUAACUACGUG